GACGAACGCUGGCGGCGUGCUUAACACGUGCAAGUCGAACGAAGAGCGAUGGAAGCUUGCUUCUAUCAAUCUUAGUGGCGAACGGGUGAGUAACGCGUAAUCAACCUGCCCUUCAGAGGGGGACAACAGUUGGAAACGACUGCUAAUACCGCAUACGAUCUAAUCUCGGCAUCGAGGAAAGAUGAAAGGUGGCCUCUAUUUAUAAGCUAUCACUGAAGGAGGGGAUUGCGUCUGAUUAGCUAGUUGGAGGGGUAACGGCCCACCAAGGCGAUGAUCAGUAGCCGGUCUGAGAGGAUGAACGGCCACAUUGGGACUGAGACACGGCCCAGACUCCUACGGGAGGCAGCAGUGGGGAAUCUUCCGCAAUGGACGAAAGUCUGACGGAGCAACGCCGCGUGAGUGAUGACGGCCUUCGGGUUGUAAAGCUCUGUUAAUCGGGACGAAAGGCCUUCUUGCGAACAGUUA
rnacentral:rRNA from 1 species